rnacentral:antisense_RNA from 1 species
GUGGGAGCUGGCUUGCCAGCGAUUGCGCUGGGUCAGCCAACUUCAAUGUUGGAUUUGCCGGCCUAAUCGCUGGCAAGCCAGCUCCCAC